UACGGAGGGAGCAAGCGUUAUCCGGAUUUACUGGGUGUAAAGGGCGCGUAGGCGGUAAGGCAAGUCUGAUGUGAAAAUUUGGGGCUCAACCCCAAAACUGCAUUGGAAACUGUUUAACUAGAGUGUCGGAGAGGCAAGUGGAAUUCCUAGUGUAGCGGUGAAAUGCGUAGAUAUUAGGAGGAACACCAGUGGCGAGGGCGGCUUGCUGGACGAUCACUGACGCUGAGGCUCGAAAGCGUGGGGAGCAAACAGG
rnacentral:rRNA from 1 species